rnacentral:snoRNA from 1 species
CCAAUAUAGUUAUCCGUUGAGGUUACUCGUGGCUCUGUCCAAGUGGUAUAUGGGAGCGUAGCCCUAACUGCAAUGAUGUACAAUCCCCUUCCACAGUGUUGAAGAUCAAGCCUGUCUUUGAUUCUAGAGCUGAUGAGAGCAGCAUCCUUUAUAUUCCUAUAACUUCUCCGUCUCUAGACAAUUACUGAGGAGAAACCUUGCAGGGCGCAACU